GGCGCUAUAGCCAAGUGGUUACGGCGACAGAUUAGAAUACGCCAAAGGUUCCAGAAAGGUGCAAUCUGUUCCUCUUUGAGGGCGCAGGUUCGAAUCCUGCUGGCGUCG
rnacentral:tRNA from 1 species